rnacentral:rRNA from 1 species
UGGCGGCRMYAGCGCGGUGGUCCCACCUGACCCCAUGCCGAACUCAGAAGUGAAACGCCGUAGCGCCGAUGGUAGUGUGGGGUCUCCCCAUGUGAGAGUAGGGAACUGCCA